rnacentral:lncRNA from 1 species
AUGAUUCUAGCCUGUUUGAUGAACCUCAACAUACCAAAACUUUUGACAACCUUCGGUUCCCCUGGUGCUGCCAACCAUGUCGAUUAUAUUCAAAAAAUGUCACAGAUAACGUAAGUAGAAAGAGCUUCUGGUAACCCUUUUACUAAAAACCAUCAAUAUUCAUAAAAACCACCGGCUUCCUCGUAGUCGUAUGUCUCGUAGUUAUUUUCUGGAUACAUAGUAUCAUCAUAUUCUGCAUACAUAUCUUCAUCAGCCGGAAAUUCGUUGACUGGUUCCAAUUCAUCCUCCUUUGUUUCAAAUCGUACUUUCUUGGGAUUCUCUGGAGCUGCCUGUUUAUCGAAUAAUUUAUCCAAGCGAUCCAAAUUGACUUUGGAGCUGAGCCU